rnacentral:rRNA from 1 species
UACAGAGGGUGCUAGCGUUGUUCGGAAUCAUUGGGCGUAAAGGGCGUGUAGGCGGUUUGUUAAGUCAUGUGUGAAAUCCCUCGGCUCAACCGGGGAAGGACGCAUGAAACUGGCAAGCUAGAGUACCAAAGAGGGGGGUGGAAUUCCCGGUGUAGCGGUGAAAUGCGUAGAUAAUCGGGAGGAACACCUGCGGCGAAGGCGGGGUUGCUGGGCCGACACUGACGCUGAUGCGCGAAAGCCAGGGGAGCGAACGGGG